rnacentral:lncRNA from 1 species
GUUUGGUAUUGGGUUAUGGCAGGGGGUUUUAUAUUAAUGAUUGUUGUAAUGAAGUUAAUGGCUCCUAGGAUAGAGGAGAUGCCUGCUAGAUGCAAGGAGAAGAUGGUUAGAUCUACGGAAGCUCCAGGGUGGGAGUAGUUCCCUGCUAAGGGAGGGUAGACUGUCCAACCUGUUCCGGCGCCGGCUUCCACUAUGGCAGAUGCAAGCAGAAGUAGGAGAGAAGGGGGUAGGAGUCAGAAGCUUAUGUUGUUUAUGCGGGGGAAUGCCAUAUCGGGGGCACCGAUUUUUAGGGGAACUAGUCAGUUGCCAAAGCCUCCGAUUAUGAUAGGUAUCACUAUGAAGAAGAUUAUUACAAAUGCAUGGGCUGUGACGAUGACAUUGUAGAUGUGGUCGUUACCUAGAAGGUUGCCUGGUUGGCCUAGCUCAGCCCAAAUAAGGAGACUUAGAGCUGUGCCCAGGACUCCAGCUCAUGCGCCGAAUAGUAGGUACAGUGUUCCAAUGUCUUUGUGGUUUGUAGAGAACAAUCAACGGUCGGCGAACAUCAGUGGGAUAAGGUAAAAUGGCUGAGUGAAGCAUUGGACUGUAAAUCUAAAGACAGGGGCUAAGCCUCUUUUUACCAGCUCUGAGGUGAUUUUCAUAUUGAAUUGCAAAUUCGAAGAAGCAGCUUCAAACCUGGCGGGGCUUCUCCCGCCUUUUUUUCCUGCGGCGGGAGAAGUAGAUUGAAGCGUUGAUUAGGGUGUUUAGCUGUUAACUAAGUGUUUAUGGGUUUAAGUCCAAUUGAUCUAGUAAGGGCUUAGCUUAAUUAAAGUGGCUGAUUUGCGUUCAGUUGAUGCAGAGUGGGGUUUUGCAGUCCUUAGCUGCAAAUGAGUCCUUAGCAAGGGACUCAUUCUUUUU